AACGAACGCUGGCGGCAGGCUUAACACAUGCAAGUCGAACGCACCUUUCGGGGUGAGUGGCAGACGGGUGAGUAACACGUGGGAACGUACCCUUUUGUUCGGAAUAACCCUGGGAAACUAGGGCUAAUACCGGAUACGCCCUAACGGGGAAAGGUUUACUGCAGGGGGAUCGGCCCGCGUCCGAUUAGCUAGUUGGUUGGAGUAAUGGCUCACCAUGGCGACGAUCGGUAGCUGGUCUGAGAGGAUGGCCAGCCGAAUUGGGGCUGAGAGACGGCACAAACUCCUCCGGGAGGCAGCAGUGGGGAAUAGUGGGCAAUGGGCGCAAGCCUGAUCCAGCCAUGCCGCGUGAGUGAUGACGGCCUUAGGGUUGUAAAGCUCUUUUACCUGGGAAGAUAAUGACGGUACCAGGAGAAUAAGCCCCGGCUAACUUCGUGCCAGCCGCCGCCGUAACAC
rnacentral:rRNA from 1 species